AGAGAAUAUAAAGACGUGCAAGUCUUGAGGCUGAUUCAGACUCCCGAGAUCAUUCACCAUGGACAAACGUUUGCUGCUGGUUCUGUUGUGCCUGCAGGUCUUCCUGCUCAUCGCAGCCUCAGAGACGGAGACUCCAGAGGCCCCUCAGGUGGAGCAAAAAGCUAAUCCUCCCAAAAAAACUAAAAGUUGUAGGAGGAUAAAUGGCAGAUGUGUCCGGCGUCCGACCCAAUCAAAUGAACAAUCAACAUCCAAACCUGAUUAUAGACCUGGUGUUUUUAGUGCUAUACUGACAACCUAAAGCCAAGUGGACACAGAAGGCAUCAUUUAUGAGUUUUUCUGCACUUUCUUCCUGUAUAUGGUGAGCUAUAAGGAACUAACCGGUGGAGAGGAUUUGGAAUCCCACCUUCUCUUCCUGAAAGUUGUGCAUUUAAUAGGAAUUUCCUUUUCUGCAAAAUUAAAAUUCUUAAUUGCAUGUGCUUCUUAAUAGUAUGUCUUUCUACAACCUGAUUUAUUAACUUCCUUCAAAACAUGUAUUAGACUCGGUAUUUGUAACAAAGAAUCACAUCAGUGCUCCUGUGUUGUUAAUGUGGAAAGGAGGUUAUUAACGAAUGGGUCUAAAACCCCACCCAGGCAUGCUUUAAGACGUCUGAUUCAGGAAUACACUGUUUUGUAUCAGCUUUUGUGCACAUCGUUUAAAAGUAUCAUCAAAUUAAUAAAAACUUAAA